UACAGAGGAGCCAAGCGUUGUCCGGAUUGACUGGGCGUAAAGCGCACGCAGGCGGACGCGCGCGUGGGGUGUGAAAUCUGGCCGCUUAACGGCCAGGCGCCAUCCCAUACGGCGCGACUGGAGGGCUGCAGAGGUCGAUGGAAUUGCCGGUGUAGUGGUGAAAUGCGUAGAGAUCGGCAGGAACACCCAGGGGGGAAACCAGUCGACUGGGCAGCACCUGACGCUGAGGUGCGAGAGCGUGGGGGAGCGAACGGG
rnacentral:rRNA from 1 species